UUCUUUUAGCCCUCCUGAUUUCUUUCUUAAGUAUUUUCUUACUUUUUGUAUACUCCUCAAGUACCUUAUUUGAUCCCUGUUUCUUAUACAUGUCAUAAUCUUUCUUUCUGUUUAUCAGAGUUCCCUCGAGAACCAAGGUUCCUUAUUCUUAUUCAUUUAGCCUUUAAUCCUGAGACUUUGUUCCCAGGGUGUCCUCAUGGGCCGUCCAGAAAUGAUUUCAGCUGGUGACAACCCUGUUCUUCGCUGUGGGGUAACCCUCAUGUGGAAUCGGGAUAAUGGUUGGACCUUCAACAAAGCUUCCAGGGUGCAUACACAGGAAUCACUGAGGGCUGUCCUUCCUCCUGCUCGUGGAUUGGGCAACAUUCAGGUUAAAAAUGACAAGGAAUUUGUCUACGGGAAUCUCGAACACUACACGCCAAUUUUGCUGUCUCUGUCCAGAUAUUUAAGAAGUGGAGCAAGGGAUUCACUCGAUCAUCUGCUCAGACUGUGGGGAGGGAUUCCCUCGGUCAUCCUUCCUGCUCAGACUGUGGGGAGGGAUUCACUCG